CUAGACAUAGCAGGAACGUAAAUCUACGCCCAACCUGACAAUGCCAUUCUCAAGUUUUAAUUCCCUAAUUACUUUAGAGUAAGUAAGAUAAUGUUUAUGAAAAAACAAAAGAUGUAGAUCUUUGAAACACACUCAGUGAUCAAAAGAUCCACAGGUACUGGUUUGGACGACCACUCGUACGAAAACAAACAAAUGAAAUAGAGAAUGCGGAAAAAUCCCCUUACGAACAAUUCACACAUCCACUACUUCGGGCUGGGAAAUAUUUUUUGAAUAGAAUCGAAGAUCCAAACACCAGCUCUUAGAAAUGUGUUUCGCCCUCUUCAACCUCUAUGGGCUCAUCGGUGAAGAUGAGAGGUUGAAUAUCUUCAGACACAUUCCAAUCAAAAAACAACAUUCGAGACCUAGACAUAGCAGGAACGUAAAUCUACGCCCAACCUGACAAUGCCAUUCUCAAGUUUUAAUUCCCUAAUUACUUUAGAGUAAGUAAGAUAAUGUUUAUGAAAAAACAAAAGAUGUAGAUCUUUGAAACACACUCAGUGAUCAAAAGAUCCACAGGUACUGGUUUGGACGACCACUCGUACGAAAACAAACACAUGAAAUAGAGAAUGCGGAAAAAUCCCCUUACGAACAAUUCACACAUCCACUACUUCGGGCUGGGAAAAAUUUUU